GCUCCCCGGCUCUGCGAGGACCCAAAGAAAUGGGCUCGCACUAGUUUUCCUUCUUUCUAAAGGUCCCCUACGGAGAUCUGCCUCUUCUCCCCGGACAGGGGUAGGGAUAGAGGUAACGGGGUGGAAACUACAUCCAAAUGAGAGUCCCAUCCCGCGAGGCGGCUCUCCAACCCCUCCUCUCGCGGGUGACUGGUCGCCCAGCAGGGCCGCGGCCUCAACAAGUACUGGGAAGCUCCAGUGUCUCCGCGGAAUUGCGCACACCUGACCACCGAAAAGGCCUGCCCCGCUCCCGGCCUGGGGCCUGAGCUUCCCCGCACAAGAGGCAACCGGCGGGGACGAGAAAGACUCUAGGAGUCGAGGCGCUGGCCAACACGAAGACCUGGUGGGGGAGACCAGGAGCGAAACAGAGAUGGUGGAUGGAUGGGGCCGCCUGAAAGACUCGGAAAGUGGCCAGGACAAGUCGCGCUCUCUAGGAGAGGUUAGAGAGACAUUUCGUUACUCCGCUCGCCUUUUCUUCAUCCCUGGAGAGAGGUAAAGGCUGGCACAUCCCUUAGCCGGCUCCAAACGCAGCCCUUCCCAGGUGACGCGCCUCUGCCUAGCUGACCGGGUCUCUCUGGCCACUUUCACUCCUGCCCUGUACCCAGAUGCUGGCGUCCUAAUGCUAAGGACAGAACCCAUCUCUUGGUCCAUAUCAAUGGUCAGUGGCCCCUAGGGCGAGUUCUCGGGUGCGGCUCGGAGAAGCAGCUUUGUAGGCGAAACUCGCGCUCCUCCUUGUCUGGAGCCGGGUGCGCUGCGGGUUGUGGAUGCAGUGCUGCAAAGCUAGCUCCCACUCUCCGUCUGACCCGCCGGGGACUCGGGUUGAGGCAAGGAACCCGACCGAUUAGAAACCAGGAUUAAGAAAAAUGCCAGGGUUACUCCGCCGGAGGCGGACAGGGCUGUCCUGGUUCUGCCUGCCUGCUUGCUUUCUCUUCUUCCUUGCAUCCAUUUCUCCUCCUCCCUCUCAGACUCAUUCCUGUUUUUCCUUCUUUCAAACAGCUUUUCCUCAACCAUACUCAGCCCACACUCCACCUCCCCAGGACAGCCUGAGACUCAGAAUGCAGUUGGAAAAUGUAUCACUUUAGAGAAAGCUCUCCCAGGGGAAAGAAUUUGAUUGAGGUGAGGGAGAACCCUCCGCGACAGUCCAGAACAAGCUGUAACAAAGCAAAGUCUCUGGGCGCAUAAAGCCCAACCCCCCAACCUGGCUCUAGGAGCCAAAGUUCUAACUCCAGCUGAGAAUAGGGAAAAGAAGUCAAGCUCGGGGAUCUGCCCUGCCCCCCUCCCGCGGGCGGGGCUGGAGGAGAGUAGGUUUCUCCAGCCGGUUGAAGCUCACUCGCUCUACCGGGGCCCCUAAGCUGCCGCUGGCUGAGAGAGGAACGCCGAGCCGAAGUGGAGCCUGCCCGGCCCUGGGACUGAGCCGGGGCCAGGGUCCCGCGGCCCUACCCAGGCUGGCGGCGGCGCUCUGGGGCGCAUGGGGAGAUGGUCGUAGCCGGGACUGAGGAACUGCAGAAGGACGACCACAGGGAAUGUCAGGGGAAUGGAAGCCCCAGCCUCAAUUCAGCCCGGGUAGCCAACACCUACCUGAUACCAGGGAACCGGAGCCCAGCCGCGGCAGGAGAGGGUUUGUUGCCAAGUAGGACGGCGGGCAAAGGGCUUCUCCAAGUUUCUGCGCUGGAGUCACAACCCAAGAGGCAUCACCG